rnacentral:rRNA from 1 species
UCCGUAGGUGGCAAGCGUUGUCCGGCUUUACUGGGCGUAAAGAGCGCGCAGGCGGUCGUUCAAGUCGCGUGUGAAAGCCCCCGGCUCAACUGGGGAGGGUCACGCGAUACUGAUCGACUCGAAGGCAGGAGAGGGUAGUGGAAUUCCCGGUGUAGUGGUGAAAUGCGUAGAUAUCGGGAGGAACACCAGUGGCGAAGGCGACUACCUGGCCUGUUCUUGACGCUGAGGCGCGAAAGCUAGGGGAGCAAACGGG